AAACAAUAUUUUAUAUGCUAAAGGGACAAAUAUUUUGAAAUAGAGAGUACUGAUUUUUAUAUCACAGCACACUAACUCUUUGUUCACAAAUAACAAGUUCCCAUAACAAUUCCACCCAUUUAAGUUCCAAGUGAUGAGUAAGAAGCUUAUUAUCUAUAACAACCCUGCCUUCUCUGUUUCUUUAACAGUCUCACAAAGUUUAAGUUAAUGUUAUGCUGGUGAACAUUCUGCAGAUGGGGUUCAAUUUAUCACAAUGGUAAUGUUCGUGGUAAAAACAUUAUUGCUGUUGGCUGGGAACAGUAAAUAUUUCAGCUAAGAUUGACUCUCAGGGCAAACAAAACAAAUUUAGAAAUCUAAACAGGCAAAACUUAAAUAAAUCAUGUAUUUGAACACAGUGCCUUGGUCAGCAAUUUUCUAACAUCC
rnacentral:lncRNA from 1 species